rnacentral:rRNA from 1 species
UCGAUGGAGAGUUUGAUCCUGGCUCAGGACGAACGCUGGCGGCGUGCCUAACACAUGCAAGUCGAACGAGGUCCAUGCAGUGGCAACACUGCGGAAGACCUAGUGGCGAACGGGUGAGUAACACGUGAGGAACUUGCCCCGGAGACCGGGAUAACUCUCCGAAAGGAGAGCUAAUACCGGAU